rnacentral:rRNA from 1 species
GACGAACCGUGCGAACGUUAUUCGGAAUCACUGGGCUUAAAGCGCGUGUAGGCGGGCCGGCACGUCGGUCGCUGAAAUCCCCCGGCUCAACCGGGGAACGGGCGCCGAUACGACCGCCCUGGAGGGACGUAGGGGGACCUGGAACUUCCGGUGGAGCGGUGAAAUGCGUUGAGAUCGGAAGGAACGCCCGUGGCGAAAGCGAGGUCCUGGACGUUUUCUGACGCUGAGACGCGAAAGCCAGGGGAGCGAACGGG